UCUUUCAGAUUUCUGAUUUCCACAGCAAAU
rnacentral:piRNA from 1 species